AUUGAACGCUGGCGGCAGGCCUAACACAUGCAAGUCGGACGGUAGCACAGAGGAGCUUGCUCCUCGGGUGACGAGUGGCGGACGGGUGAGUAAUGUCUGGGAAACUGCCCGAUGGAGGGGGAUAACUACUGGAAACGGUAGCUAAUACCGCAUAACGUCGCAAGACCAAAGUGGGGGACCUUCGGGCCUCACACCAUCGGAUGUGCCCAGAUGGGAUUAGCUGGUAGGCGGGGUAACGGCCCACCUAGGCGACGAUCCCUAGCUGGUCUGAGAGGAUGACCAGCCACACUGGAACGGAGACACGGUCCAGACUCCUACGGGGGGCAGCAGUGGGGAAUAUUGCACAAUGGGCGCAAGCCUGAUGCAGCCAUGCGGCGUGUAUGAAGAAGGCCGUCGGGUUGUAAAGUACUUUCAGCGGGGAGGAAGGUGCUGAGGUUAAUAAGCUCAGCAAUUGACGUUACCCGCAGAAGAAGCACCGGCUAACUCCGUGCCAGCCGCCGCCGUAA
rnacentral:rRNA from 1 species